UCCAACCUCCCUCAUCUCUCUCGGUGGUAUCGCCGCCUCACCCGGUCGCCGCCAUCUCGUCGUCAACGCCGCCACCCGCCGCCGCCACCUUGCGGCUGCCGCUCGUCGCUGGUGUCGCACCGUCGGAGAAGGAGAGGGAGCAUCGCCUCUCUCUCUCUCUCUGUGCACCCACAGCUCUGCUCCGCCAGCGCCGCCGGCCCUCCGUCGAGCUGCGUUUCCCCUCAUCGCUAUCGCAGCCAUCAUCGUCUGGAUGCGCCGCCGAGGCAGCCACAGCCACGGCGAUUCGACGCUGGGAUCGGGCUCUGCAAAUGGCCAUCCUGCCGUUGCUUGGUGUACGCGAUACCGUCUUCACCUCGGAAGCUGGAGCUUGCCGUGGAGUCCCCGCGGCUGCCCUCAUGGCCUCGCCGUCGCCGGCGGUCUCCGAGGAUCCCUUCGGCCCUAAAGCUACGUUCUUAUACUCCCUUCUAUGUAUUUUGUUGAGAUUUGGACAGUAGUUAUGUUGGUGGCCUUUUUUUUUUAUUAUUGUGACUUGAGUUUGUGAGUUUUGAGCUAAUGUUUAGCUCACUGCAAUGAGCUUGAUCUUUAGGCUAAAGUAUUGAUCUUGAAAUGGUUAUAAAGUGCCACUGUGGUGGGGCUUUUAACAUUUGAAGGCAGUUGCAACAACAUGUGAGUUUCUAUGCUGUGAAAACUACUUAAGCUGUUGAUUUUUGAUGUAAAGGCAGUAGCUUAUUGCUUCUGGUUCUAGUGUUUCUACAUGAUGACAUGAAAGAUUGAUUAAGAAAAAGGAUGGGGGUGUAUUACCUCUUGAAACCCCAGCUGCUUGAAUUUUCAGCUCUUAGAACUCAAGCUCUCCUACUCUCAAUCUUGUUAUGUUGCUGGAAGUUUGAAGUAUGCGGAAGGGAGUUCAUAAGUGUGGUGGAGGGGCUUUUUAUAGGCUGAUUUUGUGUACCUUAGGGGAAAUUAAAUGGGCUGUCAAAGCUCUUUGUUCUCAUGCUGCAGAUGGCACCUUUAAUUCAUUUCAUUUGUCUCUUUCUUGAAGCCUAAGUACUACCUUCAUUAGGUUAUUUGUUUGAUGUGCAGGGGAGCAGGUGGCUGCUCGGGUUGGACUGAAUUGGUGCAGCUGGAGGGCGACGGUUUGGGUUAGUUGAAUGGCAAGGAGUCGGUCAAGGAUAAGUUGCCACUCCAAAUGAGGCAAGCCUCCAAUUUUUUUUGGCAGCAUUGAGAGCUCUCGGUUGAGGUGGGGAGGUGCAGGAGUAUGCUUGCUAUUUUUAGUACAACUUGUGUUCACUUUUGCAAGAGCAAGACUUGGCUGCUGUAUUGCUCCCGGCCCAGCCCGCUAUCCUCGGCCUGACGGGCUUCUCGGGAACGGGCCGUGGUUCGGGCCUACAGGAAGAAAACCGAAGGGCUUGUUUGAAGGCUCACAUCCCGAUCUUUUACUUCAUGUAACUCAUUGGAAAGCUAGUUUGAUAGUUUGUGUAUGUAGAAGGAUAUUCGAACUUCUUUAGUCCGAAGUGUAUCUUUAGUCUGUUCUAA